CGAGUUUGGUGAUGGCUCUGAUUGAACGCUAUUCAAGUGCUUGACACAUGCUAAUCGAACGAAUCACUACAUUGAAAAUAGUGAUUAGUGGUGUACAGGUGAGUAUAACAUUGACGAAACCCUAAAGUAAGCCAAAAUAGCUUAUAUUAACAAAAAAUGAAUAUUUGCUUUAGGAUGUUUAUGUAUCGAGUAGACACACCAUAAGUUAUGUAUCUUAUAGGUGGCAAUAAUACUCGUAAUCAAGGCUGAAAGGUUAAUUGAUCACAGUGUGGCAUGAAAAAAGCCCACUACGGACAGCAGUGAGGAAUAUUGGUCAAUAGCCUAAAGGCUGAACCAGCAACUUGGAGGAACGAAAAACCGAAGUCAUGAGCGGUUACCAUGUUAAAAGAAUGUGGGGCGUCAUGCGAAUAGUUCGAAGCAAAUCUUGAUAAUGACAUAGUUUGUUUCUAGGUCUUGACCAACUCAUGUGCCAGCAGUCGCGGUAAGACAUGGAAGGCCAGCGUUAUUCAUCUUUAUUAGGUUUAAAGGGUACCUAGACGGUAGAUAUCAGCUUUUUUCUCUAAAGAUAAUUGUACUAUAUUUACUAGAGUUUGAUGUAAGGAAUCCAGAACAGUGAGUGUAGGGAUAAAAUCUGUUGAUACCACUAGUAACUGGUUUAGGUGUAGACAGGUUCUUAUGUAAUAACUGACGUUGAGGGACGAAGGCUCAAAAAUAGAAACGGGAUUAGUUACCCCAGUACUAAGGGCAGACAAAGAUGAAUGCCAUAUGUAAGAAAAGAGACUUUUUUUAUGUAUAAAUUAAAGUGGAAGCAUUCCACCUCAAGAGUAAUAUGGCAACAUAUAAACUGAAAUCACUAGGCCGUUUCUGGAACUCGUAGUGAAGUAUGUUAUUUAAUUUGAUGACCCACAAAGGACCUUACCACAGUGUGUAUAGUUAUAUAUGUAAAUAUAUUUCGGACAAGUGUUGCACGGCUGUCUACAGUUGAUAUCGUGAGAACUGAUUUGCUUCAGAAAUCAACGAAAUCCCUAACUUUACUUAAAGUAAAGUACUAAUUUUGGCAUAUGGAUCCUUAUCCGAAUUUAAUAUAUGGGAACAGGACAAGUCAUCAUGGCCAAACAUUCAAAUUGAUAGUAUUGUGGGCGAUAGACGUGCCACAGUUAGCCUAGACAAAAAGAUGCAAAAUCGUGAGAUUUAGCUAAUCUAAAAAAUAGGAUAGAUUAUAGAUUGUAGUCUGAAAUUCGACUACAUGAAAUAGGAAUUACGAGUAAUCGUGUAUAAGUAUGGCACGGUGGAUUUUGCCCCAGUUAGGUACUAACCACUCGUCAGGCGCGGAAAGGAGUAUAUGCAAUAUGUUUGGAUUUAUUCAUGUUUUAAUUUAAAUAAAUAGAUUUGAAAAAUAUAGAUAGAUUCUUCGCAUGUGUAUCUCUGAUUGGUGUUAAGUCGAAAUACGGUUCGUGUAGCGGAAGUUGC
rnacentral:rRNA from 1 species